rnacentral:misc_RNA from 1 species
AACGCAACUUGCGCCACUUGUGGCAUGUCUGUUUGAGUACCGUAUAACAACUGCAGCAAUGCGAUUUGACUACUACUACAUCAUGGUGGUUUAAAUGAGUGUUUUAUACGCGGGGUGACCUGUAAAGCUAGAGACGCAAGUCUUGUUUACAGUGCCAUCCCAACUCUAUUCUGGUCUCAAAUCAGGCAAGAUUACCCGCUGAACUUAA